UACGAAGGGGGCAAACGUUGCUCGGAAUCAUUGGGCGUAAAGCGCACGUAGGCGGCUUCGCAAGUCGGAUGUGAAAUCCCUCGGCUCAACCGAGGACGUGCAUCCGAAACUGCGGGGCUUGAGUACAGAAGAGGAUCGCGGAAGUCCCGGUGUAGAGGUGAAAUUCGUAGAUAUCGGGAGGAACACCAGUGGCGAAGGCGGCGAUCUGGGCUGAUACUGACGCUGAGGUGCGAAAGCGUGGGGAGCAAACAGG
rnacentral:rRNA from 1 species